UUAGACGGGGCCCGCACAAGCGGUGGAGUAUGUGGUUUAAUUCGACGCAACGCGAAGAACCUUACCAGGGUUUGACAUCCACUGAAUGCCUAAGAGAUUAGGUCGGCCCCUUCGGGGGACAGUGAGACAGGUGGUGCAUGGCUGUCGUCAGCUCGUGUCGUGAGAUGUUGGGUUAAGUCCCGCAACGAGCGCAACCCUUAUCCUGUGUUACCAGCGUGAAAGACGGGGACUCACAGGAGACUGCCGCCGACAAGGCGGAGGAAGGCGGGAUGACGUCAAGUCAUCAUGCCCCUUAUGUCCUGGGCUACACACGUACUACAAUGGGUGCGAACAGAGGGCAGCAAUCCCGCGAGGGGGAGCCAAUCCCACAAAAGCACUCUCAGUUCGGAUCGCAGGCUGCAACCCGCCUGCGUGAAGUCGGAAUCGCUAGUAAUCGCAGAUCAGCAGGCUGCGGUGAAUACGUUCCCGGGCCUU
rnacentral:rRNA from 1 species